ACGCUCGACACCUACGGGACAGCAGUGGGGAAUAUUGCACAAUGGGGGAAACCCUGAUGCAGCGACGCCGCGUGAGCGAAGAAGUAUUUCGGUAUGUAAAGCUCUAUCAGCAGGGAAGAUAAUGACGGUACCUGACUAAGAAGCUCCGGCUAAAUACGUGCCNNNCGCCGUAGUAUNGNGGCGGNGNGAGAG
rnacentral:rRNA from 1 species